rnacentral:rRNA from 1 species
UCCUACGGGAGGCAGCAGUCGAGAAUUUUUCUCAAUGGGGGAAACCCUGAAGGAGCGGCGCCGCGUGGAGGAUGAAGGUUUUCGGAUUGUAAACUCCUGUCAUUAGGGAACAAUUGCACGGGUUUAACUGACUUGUGUUGGAUAGUACCUGAAGAGGAAGGGACGGCUAACUCUGUGCCAGCAGCCGCGGUAAUACAGAGGUCCCGAGCGUUGUUCGGAUUCAUUGGGCGUAAAGGGUGCGUAGGCGGCGAGGUAAGUUGGAUGUGAAAUCCCGGGGCUCAACCCUGGAACUGCAUUCAAUACUGCUUUGCUAGAGUACUGGAGAGGAGAUUGGAAUUCACGGUGUAGCAGUGAAAUGCGUAGAUAUCGUGAGGAAGACCAGUGGCGAAGGCGAAUCUCUGGACAGUUACUGACGCUGAGGCACGAAGGCUAGGGGAGCAAACGGGAUUAGAUACCCCGGUAGUCCUAGCAGUAAACGGUGCACGUUUAGUAUGGGAGGAUUCGACCCCUUCCGUGCUGGAGCUAACGCGUUAAACGUGCCGCCUGGGGAGUACGGUCGCAAGAUUAAAACUCAAAGGAAUUGACGGGGA